UGAUUGUCCAAACGCAAUUCUUGUGUUUUUCCAAAUCGGACCCCGAGAAUUGUAGAUGGACAUCCUU
rnacentral:pre_miRNA from 1 species